UACGUAGGGGGCAAGCGUUAUCCGGAUUUACUGGGUGUAAAGGGAGCGUAGACGGCUGCGCAAGCCAGAUGUGAAAGCCCGGGGCUCAACCCCGGGACUGCAUUUGGAACUGUGUGGCUGGAGUGUCGGAGAGGCAGGCGGAAUUCCUAGUGUAGCGGUGAAAUGCGUAGAUAUUAGGAGGAACACCAGUGGCGAAGGCGGCCUGCUGGACGAUGACUGACGUUGAGGCUCGAAGGCGUGGGGAGCAAACAGG
rnacentral:rRNA from 1 species